GCCAGAACAGUGUAGUGGUUUGAAUGUUGGACUAUAAUUCUGAAGCCCAGGGUUCAAAUCCCUGCUCAGCCC
rnacentral:tRNA from 1 species